UCUAAUCAAGCUCGGAGAUAGCUGGUUCUCCUCGAAAGCUAUUUAGGUAGCGCCUCAUGUAUCACUCUGGGGGGUAGAGCACUGUUUCGGCUAGGGGGUCAUCCCGACUUACCAAACCGAUGCAAACUCCGAAUACCCAGAAGUGCCGAGCAUGGGAGACACACGGCGGGUGCUAACGUCCGUCGUGAAAAGGGAAACAACCCAGACCGCCAGCUAAGGUCCCAAAGUUGUGGUUAAGUGGUAAACGAUGUGGGAAGGCUUAGACAGCUAGGAGGUUGGCUUAGAAGCAGCCACCCUUUAAAGAAAGCGUAAUAGCUCACUAGUCGAGUCGGCCUGCGCGGAAGAUGUAACGGGGCUCAAACCACACACCGAAGCUGCGGGUGUCACGUAAGUGACGCGGUAGAGGAGCGUUCUGUAAGCCUGUGAAGGUGAGUUGAGAAGCUUGCUGGAGGUAUCAGAAGUGCGAAUGCUGACAUGAGUAACGACAAUGGGUGUGAAAAACACCCACGCCGAAAGACCAAGGGUUCCUGCGCAACGUUAAUCGACGCAGGGUUAGUCGGUUCCUAAGGCGAGGCUGAAAAGCGUAGUCGAUGGGAAACAGGUUAAUAUUCCUGUACUUCUGGUUACUGCGAUGGAGGGACGGAGAAGGCUAGGCCAGCUUGGCGUUGGUUGUCCAAGUUUAAGGUGGUAGGCUGAAAUCUUAGGUAAGUCCGGGGUUUCAAGGCCGAGAGCUGAUGACGAGUCGUCUUUUAGAUGACGAAGUGGUUGAUGCCAUCUUCCAAGAAAAGCUUCUAAGCUUCAGGUAACCAGGAACCGUACCCCAAACCGACACAGGUGGUCGGGUAGAGAAUACCAAGGCGCUUGAGAGAACUCGGGUGAAGGAACUAGGCAAAAUGGCACCGUAACUUCGGGAGAAGGUGCGCCGGCUAGGGUGAAGGAUUUACUCCGUAAGCUCUGGCUGGUCGAAGAUACCAGGCCGCUGCGACUGUUUAUUAAAAACACAGCACUCUGCAAACACGAAAGUGGACGCAUAGGGUGUGACGACUGCCCGGUGCCGGAAGGUUAAUUGAUGGGGUUAGCGCAAGCGAAGCUCUUGAUCGAAGCCCCGGUAAACGGCGGCCGUAACUAUAACGGUCCUAAGGUAGCGAAAUUCCUUGUCGGGUAAGUUCCGACCUGCACGAAUGGCGUAACGAUGGCGGCGCUGUCUCCACCCGAGACUCAGUGAAAUUGAAAUCGCUGUGAAGAUGCAGUGUAUCCGCGGCUAGACGGAAAGACCCCGUGAACCUUUACUGUAGCUUUGCACUGGACUUUGAGCCUGCUUGUGUAGGAUAGGUGGGAGGCUUUGAAGCGUGGACGCCAGUUCGCGUGGAGCCAACCUUGAAAUACCACCCUGGCAUGCUUGAGGUUCUAACUCUGGUCCGUAAUCCGGAUCGAGGACAGUGUAUGGUGGGCAGUUUGACUGGGGCGGUCUCCUCCUAAAGAGUAACGGAGGAGUACGAAGGUGCGCUCAGACC
rnacentral:rRNA from 1 species